CUGUAGCUCGUUGCUUGAUUGCGUACGGCGAUGUCUGUGUUGGAAAGAGAAGCCAUACAAAAGCAAAUUCAGCAAGACUGGGCGAACAGGGAAUACAUUGAAAUCAUUAGCGGGAGCAUAAAGAAAAUCGUUGAUUUCCUUACAUCGUUUGAUAUGUCAUGUAGGGCAAGGCUCGCUACCUUAAACGAAAAGCUGACGUCACUGGAAAGAAGAAUCGAAUACCUAGAGGCCAGAGUUACAAAAGGUGACACAACAUUCAAUUGAUCACUGUGUGGUUACCUGCAGACUUUACGUCCAUUAUGCAGGUGUUUUUAUAUAUGUGCAUGGUGUAAGCAGCUCCGAUGAGUUGGUUGCCUGCUGCACUUGUGAACACAUUGUUACAAACUUCUGAUUUCAUUUGUGUGUGGCAUCAAGCUAAUGAGUGCUGAAAUGGACUUGCGGCACAAGUGGAGGUGUAUCUUAGCCCACCAGCUCCUGUUGUCCAAGCAGUGUGUUUAUUGACAAAUACAAAAAUUUUGAAGUCAUUGCAGUUUGUGAACUGAUGUACUAAUUAACUGUAAUAUGUAACAAUUGCUUGUAACUGCCAUUAAAAUGCUUUUGUAACA